UGGGGAAUAUUGGACAAUGGGCGCAAGCCUGAUCCAGCCAUGCCGCGUGGAUGAUGAAGGCCCUAGGGUUGUAAAGUCCUUUCGGCGGGGAAGAUAAUGACGGUACCCGCAGAAGAAGCCCCGGCUAACUUCGUGCCAGCAGCCGCGGUAAUACGAAGGGGGCUAGCGUUGCUCGGAAUCACUGGGCGUAAAGCGCACGUAGGCGGACUCUUAAGUCGGUGGUGAAAUCCUGGAGCUCAACUCCAGAACUGCCUUCGAUACUGAGAGUCUCGAGUCCGGGAGAGGUGAGUGGAACUGCGAGUGUAGAGGUGAAAUUCGUAGAUAUUCGCAAGAACACCAGUGGCGAAGGCGGCUCACUGGCCCGGUACUGACGCUGAGGUGCGAAAGCGUGGGGAGCAAACAGGAUUAGAUACCCCCGUAGUCC
rnacentral:rRNA from 1 species